rnacentral:tRNA from 1 species
UGGGGAAUAAUUUAAAGGUAGAAUGGCGGAUUCUGAUUCCGCUUAUCUUGGUUCGAUUCCAGGUUCCCCAGCCA